rnacentral:rRNA from 1 species
UAGCGGGAGGCCUAACACAUGCAAGCCGAGCGGUAGAGUUUCUUCGGAAACUUGAGAGCGGCGCACGGGUGCGGAACACGUGUGCAACCUGCCUUUAUCUGGGGGAUAGCCUUUCGAAGGGAAGAUUAAUACCCCAUAAUAUACUGAAUGGCAUCUUUCGGUAUUGAAAACUCCGGGGGAUAGAGAUGGGCACGCGCAAGAUUAGAUAGUUGGUGAGGUAACGGCUCACCAAGUCUGCGAUCUUUAGGGGGCCUGAGAGGGUGAUCCCCCACACUGGUACUGAGACACGGACCAGACUCCUACGGGAGGCAGCAGUGAGGAAUAUUGGACAAUGGGUGAGAGCCUGAUCCAGCCAUCCCGCGUGAAGGACGACGGCCCUAUGGGUUGUAAACUUCUUUUGUAUAGGGAUAAACCUACUCUCGUGAGAGUAGCUGAAGGUACUAUACGAAUAAGCACCGGCUAACUCCGUGCCAGCAGCCGCGGUAAUACGGAGGGUGCAAGCGUUAUCCGGAUUUAUUGGGUUUAAAGGGUCCGUAGGCGGAUCUGUAAGUCAGUGGUGAAAUCUCACAGCUUAACUGUGAAACUGCCAUUGAUACUGCAGGUCUUGAGUGUUAUUGAAGUAGCUGGAAUAAGUAGUGUAGCGGUGAAAUGCAUAGAUAUUACUUAGAACACCAAUUGCGAAGGCAGGUUACUAAGCAACAACUGACGCUGAUGGACGAAAGCGUGGGGAGCGAACAGGAUUAGAUACCCUGGUAGUCCACGCCGUAAACGAUGCUAACUCGUUUUUGGGGCUUCGGCUUCAGAGACUAAGCGAAAGUGAUAAGUUAGCCACCUGGGGAGUACGAACGCAAGUUUGAAACUCAAAGGAAUUGACGGGGGCCCGCACAAGCGGUGGAUUAUGUGGUUUAAUUCGAUGAUACGCGAGGAACCUUACCAAGGCUUAAAUGGGAAAUGACAGGUUUAGAAAUAGACUUUUCUUCGGACAUUUUUCAAGGUGCUGCAUGGUUGUCGUCAGCUCGUGCCGUGAGGUGUUAGGUUAAGUCCUGCAACGAGCGCAACCCCUGUCACUAGUUGCCAUCAUUAAGUUGGGGACUCUAGUGAGACUGCCUACGCAAGUAGAGAGGAAGGUGGGGAUGACGUCAAAUCAUCACGGCCCUUACGCCUUGGGCCACACACGUAAUACAAUGGCCGGUACAGAGGGCAGCUACACAGCGAUGUGAUGCAAAUCUCGAAAGCCGGUCUCAGUUCGGAUUGGAGUCUGCAACUCGACUCUAUGAAGCUGGAAUCGCUAGUAAUCGCGCAUCAGCCAUGGCGCGGUGAAUACGUUCCCGGGCCUUGUACACACCGCCCGUCAAGCCAUGGAAGUCUGGGGUACCUGAAGUCGGUGACCGUAACAGGAGCUGCCUAGGGUAAAAC